ensembl:lncRNA
CGCACUUCAUUUUCUCUUUUAAUUGAUUGCAACACAUUUUAGAACCACACAUUACAAAAUGAACAUGAAAUAUUUUACCAGGCUCAGUUUGCAACCUUAUUGAACAGAGAAAACUACCGAAAACAUGCCUUUACAAAAUAAGACAAUUAGAAUAAAGUAAAUGCCACUUUGGAUAACCGUAAUCAAAAACCCAUUUUUUUUUUAUUCUACAUACAAAAAAGCUUGACAUAAAUAAGUUAGUAUAAUUUCUCAGUGUUUUUACAAAAUUAUGUACAUAGGUACAUUGCAAAGUUUUACACAAAUACACAGGCAUGGUGACUGCAUGAGAGUUCUCUGCAGGUGUAGACUGGUCUCUUUGAAUUGAACCCAAACUUCAGGCAAAUAAAGGGAAGCUUUUGGAUGCUCACGUUUUGCAUCCUCAGCAGGCUAACAACAUUGGUGAAACAAGUACAAACAGAAAAUGUAAAUUUAAGUCUAGGUUGUCACAAAAAGAAGUCAAUUGAGGAGCGCAGUUGGCAUCGUAGGACGUUUGACCCUUUUUACAAAAACUCUCGGGAGAGCAGUUAAGGCUGACGAGGCAAAAAGAAUAACUUCACAGAGAGGAUGACUUUACAAGACAACCUGGUGUUUGUCCUUCAAUACCCGAGUACCUCACAACUCCAAAUCAAACACGGCACCACAAAGUGGCCGAGGUGUGCGGGAGACCUCGAGAAGGAAGUUGAUCAUAUUCCAGGAGUCGACUGAUGCUGAAGGCACCCAUAUCCAAAAUAAAUACUGGGUAAGGGAACCCGAGCAGAAAUAUUACUUUUUUUUUUUUCUGCGGAAGUGACCAGAUGAGGGAAACUUUGAAAGCGACCGCCAAGCUACAUUUGUACCGUUCUUCACUGCCAAGUUAGGAAGGCGACGGAGUGAAGAUACACUGUGGAGAAACUAAGAAGUCUUGAUUUUGUUUUAAAUGUAGCAUUUAGGGACCGUGUCAAAGUCACAUUGUUUUUCAGAAGAAAAAAAACGAAAAAAAAACAGAACAGCAUUUUGGAAACAUGUAUCAAACUACACAGCAAAUUCUUCAAGUCAAAUCAAAGCUCACAACUUUUUACAUAAAGGAUUGGUGUUCAAAUAAUGUUUUUAUGUGCUACAUAUGGAAAGAAAUAUAAUAUGAAUAUUUAUUUACACACAGGUAGUAAAUAAAAAAAAAAUUUAAAAGGAGCAAAAAAGGAAAUUAAACCUAAUUGCACACUGCUACAUUGACUGCUUUUAGAGGCAGUAACUUUUUAAUUGAGUGCCACAACUUUAGUGUUUCUAUUCAGUGCUUCAACAGCGUCCUCCCCCGUCUUCAGGAGGGUUGAUAUGUUUCUGGUGCUGCGUAGUUCCUCCUCCAAAACCCACCAUCACUGAGGUUUCCCACUUGAAACGGGGAAACAGUUCUUCGGCUCUGUGGGACAAUUUGAUGAAAGAAAAAAAAAAAAAUCAAGUUAAACGAAUAACGCGAACAACGCCGCCGAGUGGGAUGCGUUAAAAACACCACGUGAUCGCAUCUUCAAAUACACGAUCAAACGGUGGAUUCACAUUGUGCAGCUGGGACAGACUUCUGUACACUGACUCCAGCAUACAAACAUCGAAUAAAGGCAGAG